rnacentral:rRNA from 1 species
UACGUAGGGUGCAAGCGUUGUCCGGAAUUAUUGGGCGUAAAGAGCUCGUAGGCGGUCUGUCACGUCGGCUGUGAAAACCUAGGGCUCAACUCCGGGCCUGCAGCCGAUACGGGCAGACUAGAGUUCGGCAGGGGAGACUGGAAUUCCUGGUGUAGCGGUGAAAUGCGCAGAUAUCAGGAGGAACACCGGGUGGCGAAGGCGGGUCUCUGGGCCGAUACUGA